rnacentral:rRNA from 1 species
GUGAACGCUGGCGGUAGGCCUAACACAUGCAAGUCGAACGGCAGCACAGUAAGAGCUUGCUCUUACGGGUGGCGAGUGGCGGACGGGUGAGGAAUACAUCGGAAUCUACUUUUUCGUGGGGGAUAACGUAGGGAAACUUACGCUAAUACCGCAUACGACCUACGGGUGAAAGCAGGGGAUCUUCGGACCUUGCGCGAUUGAAUGAGCCGAUGUCGGAUUGGCUAGUUGGCGGGGUAAAGGCCCACCAAGGCGACGAUCCGUAGCUGGUCUGAGAGGAUGAUCAGCCACACUGGAACUGAGACACGGUCCAGACUCCUACGGGAGGCAGCAGUGGGGAAUAUUGGACAAUGGGCGCAAGCCUGAUCCAGCCAUACCGCGUGGGUGAAGAAGGCCUUCGGGCUGUAAAGCCCUUUUGUUGGGAAAGAAAAGCAGCAGGUUAAUACCCCGCUGUUCUGACGGUACCCAAAGAAUAAGCACCGGCUAACUUCGUG